rnacentral:misc_RNA from 1 species
CACAGAAUUUUGGUGCCCGUGAUUUACAUUAACCAUCCACUGUUUGGCGAGCUAUUGAGAGAAGCAGAAUAUGAGUAUGGGUUCAAUCAACAAGGUGGGAUCACGAUUCCCUGCCGAUAUUCGGAGUUUGAGAGCGUCCAAACCCGGAUCGCAUCAGUGUCGGGUGGGCGUAAGCUGGAGUGGAAACGCAGCCAUGAUUGAGAUGGUUUAUCAGAUGAUGACGAUAAUAUGCGUAGGUGAUGGUGAUUUUUAUAAUUUUUAACAAUGUAAUAUAUACAUCACCAUCACCUACGCAUAUUAUCGU